UCUUGGCAGAGGAGCGCAGCGUUUGGCACCCAUCCUUGGAAGGUGGCCCAGCUGUGCGCAGGCUGGGGUUGGCCCUUCCACGCUGUUGCUAAGCCGAUGGCCCAAUAGCCGGCGGGGCGCUCCACACCCACCCGCGCUCCGGCCGCAUCCAGCCUCCAGCCCGCCCGGAUUAAAAGCUUCUUUUCUCCCACUUGCUAAUAAUAAUAAUUCAAAAAAAAAAAAAAAAAAAAAAAAAAAAAAAGAGCCGAAAAAGUGCGGAGUUUAUGUAAGCAAAGCCUCCGCGGCUCUUGCCAGGAGCGGAGCAGAGGGGAGCUGGGAGCACCAGCCCGUGCCCGGCUCCCGCUGGGAUGGAUGGGGCUCCGCGCUGGGCUCCGGUCGGACUCGUUCUGCACUCCCUCCCUCCGCUCCCACAGCCUCAAGCACAGCCUCAUCUCCCCUGCCCACCGCCAUCGGCUACGAGGCUGCAGCAGAGCCCCGUCUCCAGCAUGUCACAUAGAAUGAACCAAAAAACUCCUCACAAACCCUUCUGAUCACUGGCUUCUAGAGGAAAAUUCCCUCCUGGCCAGAGGAGAGGAGGACAAGCGAGACAGUGGUUGAACCUCACCUGAAUCACUUUUGCAGUUUGCUGUUCAGCCACCAGACCGAAGGGAACACGUCCCUGCAGCUCCAGCAGUUUCACAGCUCUAUUGUUUUCACUCGACUCCUGUGAAACUACCUGUGCUGGGAGAGAGCCACGUGGCUUUGAGUCUCCCUGAAUCAAUGCCCAAACAAACUUUGGGAAGUCAAACCAGGUGAUGGGCAGAGCUCAGCAGGGAGCCCCAGAAUCCUGGCUGGCCCUUUGCUGCUCUGAGUUCAGGACCCUUCUUAUCCUCCAGGUUUGCAGAGCUCCCUACAACACAUCUGGCUUAAGAGGGAAGGAUGGGGGCUGAAAGGGGAAUUAUUUUCUUUUGCAGCUUUCAGUGCUUAUGACCCAAAUUGGGGAAGUGUGUAAGCUGAAAGAAAUGCCUGGGUGGAUUUGAAACUGAGAUCAGGGCUACAUUUUUCAGUGGUUCUUAUAUUAGUUUAAAAUGUUCUUUUCCCUUUUAUGAGCAUAACUUCCUUUAAAUAAAUACACAGAUAACUUCUCCUAGUUGCCAAGAGUUUUCCCAUCCUCUUAUAACAACUCCUCAUAAUAAUGCAAAAUAAGUGAUAAAACAAAAAUGAGUUGAAAUAAUUUUGCAACGACCACUUUAACAAUUAAUCUGCUCAGGGAACAGCAGGAACAACCAAGACAUAAAUUUAAACGUGUACCUCUAAAUAGCAUAAUUACCUUUUAAGUUUCAAACUGUACACAUAAAAAAGAAUUCCAAGCAGCCAAGAGAAAAGGAAAUAUGAUCCAAAGGAUGCUUUCUACACACCAAAAUAUUUUCCAGCAAAGUAAGUUUUAUGAACUUCCCAAUGCCAGGCGAUAUGUAUCUGCAGCUCACUCAUUCUGCCUUUAUUUGUUGCUCUGUGUGACAAGCUGUAGUCUGAUCUAGCCUGACAUGCCAUGGUAUGCACAGCACACAUAUAUCAUGAUAAGACAGUUGAAAACCAAAGACAAACAGCCCCAAAGAGAGAGCUGAACAGCAUGAUCCAGCAGCGGCCUGCAUCCAUCAGGGGAGGGUAUUUGGGAUGGCACACCUUCCCCCUGCGAGUAAAUAAAUACUGAUUGCGUGCUGCAGCCGGCAGUGAACGAGAUAACGCAGCGUUCCCACGGACAACUUUGUUUCUUCUCCUCCAUGUGUUUCAGUUACAUUCUUUUUCAUGACAUCCUUUUUUAUCGGGGUAGGGAAAAAACAGGGUGUCUUGGACUCAUAAACCCCAGUGAAAUGAGAAGAUGGAAUCACUUGCUGCUCACUGGAGAAGGAGACGAACCCAGCUGCUGCUGCUGCUGCUGCUGUAACACAGUGCUCCAGCAGUGAAGAUCUUCUGUUCUUUAUUACAUUGGUAAAAGCACCAGGAAUUCAGCUGGAUUCGUUUCUGGCCAACUUCAGGUUCCUCUUUCAAGGACAUAAAAUAUUUCUGGGCUAUAACUGAAGUGGUUUCGUUGUCCAGGAUUCCUCUGGCGAAGGGGAUGAGCUCUUCAGUGUUUGAGGUUCUGAGAGCAGCUACUGCCCAGCUGAAGCAAUGUUAGUUGCACUCACAUUACUAAAUAGCUCAGUAGGAAACAGGUGACUUUUUGUCAUUUAUUGAAUGAAGGUGUUGGUAAUUAUGACAAAGAGCUCCCUUUGAAGGGGUGGUUAUAAAACACCACAACAAAAACACAUCUGUUUUGCUGCUCAUGUCUCAGGUAUCACAUCUGAGGUGUUUCUGAGGCCCUGGGAUGCAGAUGUUUACAGCAUUACACAGAUCUGAUUUUCAUGACUACAAAACUGACACACACUAACAGAGUGGUUUUUAACACCUUUUUUUGGGUCACAAAUCAUAUAAAAACCCAGGGAAACGUGGCAGUAAUUCGUAAUUAAUUUUUCAGUGUUAUUUUUAUAAAGAAUGAUGUUUUGCCUAAGUGAAAGCUGCCUUCACUUUGGUCCCUUUGAAUUCAGCAUUGCAAGGGUCUAGCUGAGAAGCUGAGAACUUCAGUUUAUAUUAAAGUUUGUCUUAAAGUGCUCUUAAA